UACGUAGGGUGCAAGCGUUGUCCGGAAUUAUUGGGCGUAAAGAGCUCGUAGGCGGUCUGUCGCGUCGGAUGUGAAAACCCAGGGCUCAACCCUGGGCCUGCAUUCGAUACGGGCAGACUAGAGUAUGGCAGGGGAGACUGGAAUUCCUGGUGUAGCGGUGAAAUGCGCAGAUAUCAGGAGGAACACCGGUGGCGAAGGCGGGUCUCUGGGCCAAAACUGACGCUGAGGAGCGAAAGCGUGGGGAGCGAACAGG
rnacentral:rRNA from 1 species